UGGGGAAUAUUGCACAAUGGGCGAAAGCCUGAUGCAGCGACGCCGCGUGAGGGAUGACGGCCUUCGGGUUGUAAACCUCUUUCAGUAGGGACGAAGCGCAAGUGACGGUACCUGCAGAAGAAGCACCGGCUAACUACGUGCCAGCAGCCGCGGUAAUACGUAGGGGGCGAUCGUUGUCCGGAAUUACUGGGCGUAAAGAGCUCGUAGGCGGUUUGUCACGUCGUCUGUGAAAUCCUAGGGCUUAACCCUGGACGUGCAGGCGAUACGGGCUGACUUGAGUACUACAGGGGAGACUGGAAUUUCUGGUGUAGCGGUGGAAUGCACAGAUAUCAGGAAGAACACCGAUGGCGAAGGCAGGUCUCUGGGUAGUAACUAACGCUGAGGAGCGAAAGCAUGGGUAGCGAACAGG
rnacentral:rRNA from 1 species